UACGUAGGGCGCAAGCGUUGUCCGGAAUUAUUGGGCGUAAGGAGCUCGUAGGCGGCUUGUCACGUCGUCCGUGAAAACCUGCAGCUCAACUGCAGGCUUGCGGUCGAUACGGGCAGGCUGGAGUUCGGUAGGGGAGACUGGAAUUCCUGGUGUAGCGGUGAAAUGCGCAGAUAUCAGGAGGAACACCGGUGGCGAAGGCGGGUCUCUGGGCCGAUACUGACGCUGAGGAGCGAAAGCGUGGGGAGCGAACAGG
rnacentral:rRNA from 1 species